rnacentral:rRNA from 1 species
AGUGAAUAGAUACCCGGGUAGUCCACGCCGUAAACGUUGGGCACUAGGUGUGGGGAGCCGUCAACGCUCUCUGUGCCGUAGCUAAACGCAUUAAGUGCCCCGCCUGGGGAGUACGGCCGCAAGGCUAAAAACUCAAAGGAAUUGACGGGGGCCCGCACAAGCGGCGGAGCAUGUUGCUUAAUUCGAGGCAACGCGAAGAACCUUACCUAGGUUGAACUAUGCAGGAAAAGCCACAGAGAUGUGGUGUCCUGGGUCCGUGCGAUAGGUGGUGCAUGGCUGUCGUCAGCUCGUGUCGUGAGAUGUUGGGUUAAGUCCCGCAACGAGCGCAACCCUUAUCCUAUGUUGCCAGCGGGUAAUGCCGGGUACGUCGUAGGAGACUGCCGGGUCAACUCGGAGAAGGUGGGACGACGUCAAGUCAUCAUGCCCCGUUAUGUCUAGGGCUGCAACAUGCUACAAUGGCCGGUACAGAGGGCUGCGAAACCGCGAGGUCGAGCGAAUCCCAAAACGCCGGUCUCAGUUCGGAUUGAAGUCUGCAACUC